AUUGAACGCUGGCGGCAUGCCUUACACAUGCAAGUCGAACGGUAACAGGUCUUCGGAUGCUGGCGAGUGGCGAACGGGUGAGUAAUACAUCGGAACGUGCCCGAGAGUGGGGGAUAACGAGGCGAAAGCUUUGCUAAUACCGCAUACGAUCUCAGGAUGAAAGCAGGGGACCGCAAGGCCUUGCGCUCACGGAGCGGCCGAUGGCAGAUUAGGUAGUUGGUGGGAUAAAAGCUUACCAAGCCGACGAUCUGUAGCUGGUCUGAGAGGACGACCAGCCACACUGGGACUGAGACACGGCCCAGACUCCUACGGGAGGCAGCAGUGGGGAAUUUUGGACAAUGGGCGCAAGCCUGAUCCAGCCAUGCCGCGUGCAGGAUGAAGGCCUUCGGGUUGUAAACUGCUUUUGUACGGAACGAAAAGACUCUGGUUAAUACCUGGGGUCCAUGACGGUACCGUAAGAAUAAGCACUGGCUAACUACGUGCCAGCCGCCGCCAUAAGAC
rnacentral:rRNA from 1 species